rnacentral:rRNA from 1 species
AUGACACCACAAAUACCCCACUCCGUCGGACGAACCCUAAUCAAACCCUCACUUUCUUGGUCCGCACUCGUCUUAUCCGCUCUCCUCAUCGCCUUCGCUUCCACCCAAAUCCAUCUCCUCCCCUUCGCCAUGGCCAAGCCCGAUCAGGACUCCGGCAGCGAGCUCGAUCCCAUGGACUGGGACGGUCUCGUUAAGGAGGAGGACGUUGGAUCUAGCAGCGAUGCACGGGACGAGGAGCUCGCGAUCCGCAUCACCAUCGAGCACUCGAACUUGGACACUGACGGGAGCUCGAGCUCCGUCGCGUCCGCUAGCUCCUCCACCUCCCGCCGACAGAAUGCGGGCCGUGGUCGCCCGACCCGCUCCAGAUCCGGAGCAGGGAGGGUGUCUCCCCUUCCCCUCCGGCGCCAGCACCGCCCGGGCAACGAUGGUUGCUCAUGCCCGCGGCUCUUGUGCGCCUGUGCAAUGCCAGAGUCGGAGGCGAAGGUGACCCAGCGCGAGACUCCUCCCUCUAGCGCGCAUGCUCCAUCCCGUCGACCCGGAGUAGGUGCUCCUCCGCGAGGUCGCGCUUGCUGA